rnacentral:rRNA from 1 species
GACGAACGCUGGCGGCGUGCCUAAUACAUGCAAGUCGAGCGCUGAAGGUUGGUACUUGUCCCAACUGGAUGAGCAGCGAAUGGGUGAGUAACGCGUGGGGAACCUGCCUUUGAGCGGGGGACAACAUUUGGAAACGAAUGCUAAUACCGCAUAAAAACUUUAAACAAAAGUCUUAAGUUUGAAAGAUGCAAUUGCAUCACUCAAAGAUGAUUCCGCGUUGUAUUAGCUAGUUGGUGAGGUAAAGGCUCACCAUGGCGAGGACACAUAGCCGACCUGAGAGGGUGAUCGGCCAAAUUGGGACGGGAGCACGGCCCAAACUCCUACGGGAGGCAGCAGGAGGGGAUCUUCGGCAAUGGACGAAAGUCUGACCGAGCAACGCCGCGUGAGUGAAGGAGGGUUUCGGGUCGUAAAACUCUGUUGGUAGAGAAGGACGUUGGUGAGGGUGGAAAGCUCAUCAAGUGACGGUAACUACCCAGAAAGGGACGGCUAACUACGUG